CAUGCAAGUCGAGGGGUAACAGGGAUUGCUUGCAAUCCGCUGACGACCGGCGCACGGGUGCGUAACGCGUAUGCAACCUACCUUCUACAGGGGGAUAGUCAAUAGAAAUGUUGAAUAAUACCCCAUACGAUCUUUGAAUAGCAUUAUUUAAAGAAGAAAGUUCCGGCGGUAGAAGAUGGGCAUGCGUCCUAUUAGUUAGUUGGAGAGGUAACGGCUCCCCAAGACAUCGAUAGGUAGGGGUCCUGAGAGGGAGACCCCCCACACUGGUACUGAGACACGGACCAGACUCCUACGGGAGGCAGCAGUGAGGAAUAUUGGACAAUGGAGGCAACUCUGAUCCAGCCAUGCCGCGUGCAGGAAGACUGCCCUAUGGGUUGUAAACUGCUUUUAUACAGGAAGAAAUGUACCUACGUGUAGGUAUUUGACGGUACUGUACGAAUAAGGAUCGGCUAACUCCGUGCCAGCAGCCGCGGUAAUACGGAGGAUCCAAGCGUUAUCCGGAAUCAUUGGGUUUAAAGGGUCCGUAGGCGGUCUUUUAAGUCAGAGGUGAAAUCCUACAGCUCAACUGUAGAAUUGCCUUUGAUACUGAAGGACUUGAGUUAUUGUGAAGUAGUUAGAAUGUGUGGUGUAGCGGUGAAAUGCAUAGAGAUCACACAGAAUACCGAUUGCGAAGGCAGAUUACUAACAAUAUACUGACGCUGAGGGACGAAAGCGUGGGUAGCGAACAGGAUUAGAUACCCUGGUAGUCCACGCCGUAAACGAUGGAUACUAG
rnacentral:rRNA from 1 species